AACGAACGCUGGCGGCAGGCCUAACACAUGCAAGUCGAACGCAUCGCAAGAUGAGUGGCAGACGGGUGAGUAACGCGUGGGAACAUACCCUUUUCUACGGAAUAGCUCUGGGAAACUGGAAUUAGUACCGUAUACGCCCUACGGGGGAAAGAUGUAUCGGGGAAGGAUUGGCCCGCGUUGGAUUAGCUAGUUGGUGGGGUAAAGGCCUACCAAGGCGACGAUCCAUAGCUGGUCUGAGAGGAUGAUCAGCCACAUUGGGACUGAGACACGGCCCAAACUCCUACGGGAGGCAGCAGUGGGGAAUAUUGGACAAUGGGCGCAAGCCUGAUCCAGCCAUGCCGCGUGAGUGAUGAAGGCCUUAGGGUUGUAAAGCUCUUUCACCGAUGAAGAUAAUGACGAUAGUCGGAGAAGAAGCCCCGGCUAACUUCGUGCCAGCAGCCGCGGUAA
rnacentral:rRNA from 1 species